rnacentral:rRNA from 1 species
UACGGGGGGAGCAAGCGUUGUUCGGAUUUACUGGGCGUAAAGGGCGCGUAGGCGGUCAGCACAAGUCAGUUGUGAAAUCUCCGGGCUUAACUCGGAAAGGUCAACUGAUACUGUGCGACUAGAGUACGGAAGGGGCAACUGGAAUUCUCGGUGUAGCGGUGAAAUGCGUAGAUAUCGAGAGGAACACCUGCGGCGAAGGCGGGUUGCUGGGCCGACACUGACGCUGAUGCGCGAAAGCCAGGGGAGCGAACGGG